UACGUAGGGUCCGAGCGUUGUCCGGAAUUAUUGGGCGUAAAGGGCUCGUAGGCGGUCUGUUGCGUCGGGAGUGAAAACUUACAGCUUAACUGUGAGCGUGCUUCCGAUACGGGCAGACUUGAGGUAUUCAGGGGAGAACGGAAUUCCUGGUGUAGCGGUGAAAUGCGCAGAUAUCAGGAGGAACACCGGUGGCGAAGGCGGUUCUCUGGGAAUAUCCUGACGCUGAGGAGCGAAAGUGUGGGGAGCGAACGGG
rnacentral:rRNA from 1 species